GUUCGAAUCCCUGCGACGAGGUGAGCUCCCAUUGCCCGGUCCCAACUCCUGCCAACCUAGCAGUUAGAAAGCACGAAGUGCAAGUAGAUAAAUAGGUACCGCUCCAGCUGGAAGGUAAACAGCGUUGUCGUGCGCUGCUCUGGUUCGCCAGAAGCAGCUUAGUCAUGCUGGCCACAUGACCCAGAAGCUGUACGCUGGCUCCCUCAGCCAGGAAAGUGAGAUGAGCGCUGCAACCCCAGAGCCGUCCGCGACUGGACCUAAUGGUCAGGGGUCCCUUUACCUUUAUGUACCUGCCAAGGAGUCUUCACAUCCUCAUUAUGGGGACUUCUGUAAGAGCAAUGUUUGCUAGCUCAUGCCUUCAGAGUUUUCCCAACAUUAAUAAUCCAUAAGAAAACUUGGUCAUCCAUGUCAGAUAAAACAAUCCCUUUAUCUCCUACAUCUGGUGAACUUUUUUAUUUAUUUCACAAGUGAAAAAGUUCCUAGUGUUGCAUAAGAGCUGCAGGCAUGAAUAUUUGAUAGCCAGACCUCCCAUAAGUGUAACAAAUCUGAUGUGCUGCUGGAAGCCAUUAGGCAUUCUGUUUACUCCGUAAGUGUACAUUUUUAGAAAUCUAUUGAGAGUCACAGUCUAAAGAGAUUUGAAUUGGGGGAUUUAUUAUGCGGCUGAGGUUGUGGAUGUAAAUUAUCUACUUCCCCAGGAGUUUAGUGAACACUUGCAUCCACUCUAUGUAUUUCUAAACUUAAUUAAUGUUUUUCACAUUGGCAUCAUUCUUGUAGCUGUGUGUUUUAAUGAAUUGCUACUGUACACCCUUCACUGGUGUGCAUUUGUAAGUUGCAUGAGUACAGCCAUUCUGAAGGUGAAACCAGGAAGUAUCAGCCCCACAUCUUCUCAUCUCCCCUUCCACCACCCACAACAAUAUGCAGUAAAACACCCAACAUCAACACACUCCCAGUUUCCCUUUCUCACAAACAGCAGACCAUGAAGCAACACAGGGGCAGGAAAACUCUCAGUACAUCACAAGUUACCAGGGAGAGAGACAGAUAACAUUAUCUUCUCUUGCUUUUGGCCACCAUCUCCCAUUAACAUCUGUGUUCCAGCUUGGGCUGCCACCGUUCAAUUAGGAUGACACUGUUUGCAAUGGUAUAGAAUUUUAUAGGAAAGCACAUUUGUAGCUAAACGGCUUUGAUAAAUUUUGAACAUCCUUGAUGAUCUGUGGAAAACAAUGUGCACUUUUUAAUUUUAAUUUUCAGCCAGGUUUCCAAACCAAUCCAAAUUACGCUUGAGAUCUGCAUUGUUUCAUACUCCAGAAAUGAUGUCUUUUUGGAAACCAGAGGCAAACCAGUAUGAUUAAAGUGACAAAAUGUAAUAGCUCCAACCAAAUAUACCGUAUAGCCAAUGUAAAUUGAGUAAACUGGAAAUUAAUAUUCUACGGAUGACAUAAUGGAACUCUAGACUUUACUUGUCGGUCAUGUUGUUAAAUCACUUAACUAUUUACACACCAUGCUUGUUAAUGGGAAAAUAUUUUAAUACAAUAUCUGACAAAGUCGUACUCAAAGGAGGCGCACUGAAAUCAACAGACUUCAGUUUGUCAUGACUGGGGAUGGAGAAGAAAGUCAAUUCAAUUCCCAUUUAAAGCCAAAUCUAUCAAAUCUGCACUUUCCAAAAUAAUAUGAGACCUGAAAUCCAGCCAUACCCUCUGGAUUCACACUUAUCUGAAUUCUGCAAUGUAGUUCUCCAGCCAAGCAAUGUUUCACAAAAGAAUAUUGGGGAAAGUGUGCCUAAAACUGAAUAUAUUAGUAAACAUAACAUUAAAAAUGUAUUCUAUUAGGAGAAACUACAAGCAAGCAAAGGGCAUGGUGCACAAGAUUUUCUGUCCGCUAUAAGCUUCCCUUUCAACCCGAAAAAUGUCUUAGGCAAAAAUUCGCUGCAGCCCUAGAAACAUAGCUGUCAAAGGUUACAUAUUUUCGUGAGUUCAUGUAAGUUGUAUCCUGCAGUUCCCUCUGCUGCUUUUAAUUAACAGUUUAUUAACGUAAAACAUUUUCACGUGGUUAUGAGCAUAAUUGCACAGUUAAAGCAAUUGCUUGUGGUCUAACAUCAUUAAUAAUAAUAAAUUUUAUUUAUAUCCCGCCCUCCCCAGCCGAAGCCGGGCUCAGGGCGGCUAACAACAAUAAAACAGUACAAAAGUACAGCACAAACAACACUCUAAAAUCAUUCAUUAUAAAAUUAAUUAAUUCAAGCCACUGGCAACUAUUGGGCCAGAGCUCCGCGAAGAUUGCCGAGGGAGUCAGGCUGUGCCCUGGCCAAAGGCCUGGUGGAACAGCUCUGUCUUGCAGGCCCUGCGGAAAGAUGUCAAGUUCCGCAGGGCCCUGGUCUCUUGUGACAGAGUUUUCCUCCACAGUUAUGUUCCACCACAGUUAUUACUACAGUUAUGGUAUGAAACUGGCAGUUAUGGGUGUACAAUAAGGAAAAUUGUGGUUGCAUAAUAUUCAACCUCUGUCCGAACCUCUGCACAUCAUCUUACUCUGCUGUGUGACCUACUGCUUUUCCAUACACUUGUGGAAAUUUCCAACCAUGGUAGAAGUUACUGUUACCCAAUAACACUUAGCUGUAUUGGGAAAAGAAGAAUGCCUAUCAGCAUUCAUGAUUUUGAUUUUCUAAAACCAUUGAUUCAUUUUGGAGGCUGGGGAGGGGACGUGCAUUGCAAUGCCAGUUCUAUACAUGUGACAUAAUAAGGUCACAGAAUGGUUGGUUAAGGUCUUUCCUCUCUGUCUAAAAAAACCCAAACAAAAUAUAACUCUACAAAAUGUUACAAUCACGUGGAAAGUUGUAUUAAUGACUGUGGAACAGCCACUUCUGUCCCAACAGGUUAAGCUGCCCCACAGGAUCCCAUUGAUCGGAAAUGUAAAGAGGGCUGGGUAACAGGUGCUCCUGUCCUGAGCACACCUAGAAGGGGCAUCAAAGGUAAUUUGACAUACUGACAGCUAUUAAGCCAGCAUGUAGUCAUGUCAUCUUUUCACUAUAUUUUCAGUGUUUUCCAAGUGGCAGAAGAUGAGUAUCCAGAGAGGAGCCUUCUCAGAGGCUCAGGGAGCAAUCCCAAGGCAAGAUCCACUGGGAUGAGUGGCUUAAUACAGCAGAUUUCCAUCUGAGUUGACUUGGCUCAGCUCAACUCCGGCUCAGCUGAAGAUAUGGCAGUGUAACUUGUUCCUCCUGCUCAGCAUUAGGUACCAACAGGAGUUGUUGCAGGAAAAUUGUUUAGCCUGUCUUUAUUCUAUAAAAAGACUACUGGCUGAUUCAAAAUAGUCAUUACCAGCAGAGUUGAAAAUGUCAGAAAUUUUAUUGGUCUGCUCAUGAGACAAUUUAAACAUCAUGGGCACCAGGAAUUUCUCCAAAAGCCAAACCAGUCCCCUACAAAUACAUGAACUUUCUAAUCAAGCAUACAGAUAUAUAAGACAAGGGUGACAUAACAUAAACACUUGUAGAAAAUAGAGUUUCGUCUACUUGACCCUAUUGUUUCUCACACAAAGCUGAUCUCAGAAUGCUGCUUUCUUCCUGC